UUGAAACAACGACAAUCCGGACACAGAUCAAACAUGAAGAAAUUGAAAACACUACUAGACAAGGGAUACACAAAUGCAGAUACGGAGGUCAGCUGGGUACGGGAAAAACGGCGCUUGUAAACCAUGCAGCAACAAUGAACCAUAACUUUAAGAUUGACGAAUCAAAAAUCAUAGAUAGAACGUUAAAAACAAACAAUCUACACAUCCUCGAAAGUUGUCACAUAUACACUACCAACGACACUGUAAACAAACGUACCGACACAGACAAUCUCCAUGUAGCUUACGCAGGACUACUACACUUACUGAAAAAUGAAAAAACAAAUAGAAGAUGACGAUCAAAACAAACUAGACAGACGAUAGAAAUCACUUACGGUUAGAUAGUUGAGACACACACUAGACUAGAAAAAUGACACACACACAAAUGAAACAGAUAUCAUGCGAAAAGUAAUGGUGGAAGAUCUAAAUAUAGGACACCGAAUUCCAGACCGCUCGCUAGGUAGGAGAUUGUCCGCCCCACGAUGGUUCAGAACCGGUCGGACUCAAUCGAUACCGAUAUUUCCGCAUGACAUUUUAGCGUUUAGCAAAGCCAUCUUGACUAGAAAACCGUAGUGAUUGAACCCUUGAAAAAGGUCCCAAACGGACCGAAACGUCGGGAAAAAUCAAAAAUUAGCGUUUUUAAUUCCCUGAAGACUGCUCAGCUAACAUUGGUUCAAUAACAUAACCUCAGUCGAAGCUCAUCCAAAAAA